AUUGGUAGAGGAGGAGUGAUCGAGCCUGCGCUUAAGUGCGCGGCGAGGUUGUUCUUUUUCGUUACGCCGAUAAUUCUUUACACACACUGGAGUUUUAUUUCUACAGUAUCGGAGGUAGCAAUACCGCCAAAACAAAACACAAACAAUUAUUUUUUAUUAUUUUAAUUUGUCAUUUCAAAAUCUGCUUUAUUGCAGUAACCAAAAUAUUCAAAACUUUCAACAACGGAUCUCUUGGUUCUCGCAUCGAUGAAGAACGCAGCGAAAUGCGAUACGUAAUGUGAAUUGCAGAAUUCCGUGAAUCAUCGAAUCUUUGAACGCACAUUGCGCCCCUUGGUAUUCCAGGGGGCAUGCCUGUUUGAGCGUCAUUUCCUUCUCAAAUACUUGUAUUUGGUUGUGAGUGACACUCAGUCUUGCAUUGAGUUAACUUGAAAUUGUUGGCCGUAGCGGUUGUUGCAGCUUAUAGUUUUUGUGUAAUGGUAUGAUUUCUUUACUAUUAAACAGGAUGCUUGAGCAUGUCGUAUUAGGUUUUACCAACUCCGGCAGACUCGGUAUCUUGGAAGAGCGUACUGGCAUUAGAACAUUGAACUGUCGACUGUGGCAAACAGUACUCUUUAAGUUUGACCUCAAAUCAGGUAGGAAUACCCGCUGAACUUAAGCAUAUCAAUAGCCGGAGGAA
rnacentral:rRNA from 1 species